GUGAGGGUAGCUCAGUGGUAGAGUGCUUGCCUUGCAUGCAUGAGGCCCUGGGUUCAAUUCCUCAGCACCACA
rnacentral:tRNA from 1 species